UACGUAGGGGGCAAGCGUUGUCCGGAAUCAUUGGGCGUAAAGCGCGUGUAGGCGGCUCGGUAAGUCUGCUGUGAAAGUCCAGGGCUCAACCCUGGGAUGCCGGUGGAUACUGUCGAGCUCGAGUCCGGAAGAGGCGAGUGGAAUUCCUGGUGUAGCGGUGAAAUGCGCAGAUAUCAGGAGGAACACCAAUGGCGAAGGCAGCUCGCUGGGACGUGACUGACGCUGAGGCGCGAAAGCUAGGGGAGCGAACAGG
rnacentral:rRNA from 1 species